rnacentral:sRNA from 1 species
CCUCGUCGCACUGCUGCGGGCAGAUGAAAUGGAUGUGGGUGUCGACGCCGCCCGCGGUGACGAGGAGGCCCUCGGCGCCGAUGACCUCGGUGGUGGGGCCGACGACCAUCCCCGGGGUGACGCCGGCCAUGACGUCGGGGUUGCCAGCCUUGCCGAUGGCGGCGAUGCGGCCGUCCUUGAGGCCGAUGUCGGCCUUGUAGAUGCCGGUCCAGUCGAUCACGACGGCGUUGGUGAGCACGCAGUCGAGGGCCUCGGCCUGGCUCGCGCCCGCGCGCUGG